rnacentral:rRNA from 1 species
GACGUAGGGCGCGAGCGUUGUCCGGAUUUAUUGGGCGUAAAGAGCUCGUAGGCGGUUUGUCGCGUCGUCCGUGAAAACCUGCGGCUCAACUGCAGGCUGGCGGUCGAUACGGGCAGGCUGGAGUUCGGUAGGGGAGACUGGAAUUCCUGGUGUAGCGGUGAAAUGCGCAGAUAUCAGGAGGAACACCGAUGGCGAAGGCAGCUCGCUGGGACGGUACUGACGCUGAGGCGCGAAAGCGUGGGGAGCGAACAGG